rnacentral:lncRNA from 1 species
GGAGGGUACUUGAGGCCAUAUUAGAGAUUAGGAUUAGUUUUUUGGAGCAAUUUGAACUUUAAAGGCUAGGAUCAACAAGUUUAGGAUUUUGGCUAUGGUUUUGGUACAAAUCUUGUAUAAUUUGGACUUUGUGUGAAGGAGAUAUAGGUGCUCAAAGUUAAGGUAUUGAUUUGGGAGCUACUGUCACUCUUUUUGACAUAACGCACGCGUACAAAGGGCAAUUGAGGAUCGGCGACUGCGACUAGAGAAAGCACUUUUGCAGCUACACUUUUUGUAUACUGCUUGCUCGAUUUCAAGUUGGAAUAAAGGAAUUAUUGGAUUUUGAAGUCAAUGCUUGCAAUCUAAGAGUAGUAAGUGAGCCGAUUUACUUGUGGUUGUGACUUGAGCUAUAUCUUAAGCAAUUUGACAAGGUUUUGGCUCAA